UGUGAUGCCCUUAGAUGUUCUGGGCCGCACGCGCGCUACACUGACGGAGCCAGCGAGUCUAACCUUGGCCGAGAGGUCUGGGUAAUCUUGUGAAACUCCGUCGUGCUGGGGAUAGAGCAUUGUAAUUAUUGCUCUUCAACGAGGAAUUCCUAGUAAGCGCAAGUCAUCAACUUGCGUUGAUUACGUCCCUGCCCUUUGUACACA
rnacentral:rRNA from 1 species